rnacentral:rRNA from 1 species
CCUACGGGAGGCAGCAGUCGAGAAUCUUCGGCAAUGGACGCAAGUCUGACCGAGCGACGCCGCGUGCGGGAUGAAGGCCUUCGGGUUGUAAACCGCUGUCAGAGGGGAUGAAGUGUACGGGAGUUAUCUCCUGUAUUUGACAGAGCCUCAGAGGAAGCACAGGCUAAGUUCGUGCCAGCAGCCGCGGUAAUACGAACUGUGCGAACGUUAUUCGGAAUCACUGGGCUUAAAGGGUGCGUAGGCGGCUGCCUAAGUCAGGUGUGAAAUCUCUCGGCUCAACCGGGAAACUGCGCUUGAUACUGGGCGGCUCGAGUGAGGUAGGGGUGUGUGGAACUUCCGGUGGAGCGGUGAAAUGUGUAGAUAUCGGAAGGAACGCCAGCAGCGAAAGCGGCACACUGGGCCUUUUCUGACGCUGAGGCACGAAAGCUAGGGGAGCGAAUGGGAUUAGAUACCCCGGUAGUCCUAGCCGUAAACACUGAACACUCGAGGAGGGGGCUUCGGCCUUCUUUCUCUUAGCGAAAGCGUUAAGUGUUCCGCCUGGGGAGUAUGGUCGCAAGGCUGAAACUCAAAUGAAUUGACGG